AUAUUUAAUAAUGAUUUUAAUGUUUUUUUAUCACAAUUAUGAUUUCAAUUUUAGGAAUGAUUUUUUGCAACUCCAUUAUUUAAUUGAAGUAAGGAGAGCAUGAACUUUAUAAAUUAUAAGCUCAAAUGAUCUAUUUGUUACAUGCAAAAAGGGAAAACAUGGUUGGAAUUGUGAAGUUUGUUCGUGUUAUGGUUUUCUUUUUUUUCCUAUUUAAUAUCGGAAUGAAUUUAGUCGAGGCUCAUCCGCGUCAUCCAUGUACAAAAGAUGAAGACUGUCCAAAAGAUAUGUGUAAACAUCCUGGUUCUAUUCCACAGUGUCAUUGGGGUUGGUGCAUAUGUGUUAUAAUGAUGGGCCCACUACCACACCCAACAAUACACAAUCAACUGCAAUGAAGUUUUUGCAAAUGAUCUAUGUAAAAUUCCUUUUACUAAUAUUUCAUAAGGUGUCAUUUAGUUAUUGUGUUGACAUCAAAUAGUUAGAUUUUUUUUUUUUUUUUUCAAGGGCCGUGUGGCCUAUGGCUUUGUACUCUAAGAUGAAUAUAAUAAAAUGAAAUAAGCAACAAAUAUAUUAUUAA